rnacentral:rRNA from 1 species
GCGUGAGUGAUGAAGGCCCUAGGGUUGUAAAGCUCUUUCGCCAGGGACGAUAAUGACUGUACCUGGAGAAGAAGCCCCGGCUAACUUCGUGCCAGCAGCCGCGGUAAUACGAAGGGGGCUAGCGUUGUUCGGAAUCACUGGGCGUAAAGCGCACGUAGGCGGACCGUUAAGUCGGAGGUGAAAGCCUGGGGCUCAACCCCAGAAUUGCCUUCGAUACUGCCGGUCUCGAGUGUGGGAGAGGUUGGUGGAACUCCGAGUGUAGAGGUGAAAUUCGU